AUGGAAUAAUAAAAUAGGACGUUUGAUCUUAUUUUGUUGGUUUCUAGGAUCGACGUAAUGAUUAAUAGGGAUAGUUGGGGGCAUUAGUAUUCAAUUGUCAGAGGUGAAAUUCUUGGAUUUAUUGAAGACUAACUACUGCGAAAGCAUUUGCCAAGGAUGUUUUCAUUAAUCAAGAACGAAAGUUAGGGGAUCGAAGACGAUCAGAUACCGUCGUAGUCUUAACCAUAAACUAUGCCGACUAGGGAUCGGAUGAUGUUAUUUUUAAUGACUCAUUCGGCGCCUUACG
rnacentral:rRNA from 1 species